AACGAACGCUGGCGGCGUGCUUAAGACAUGCAAGUCGUGCGAGAAAGUCACCUUCGGGUGACGAGUAGAGCGGCGCACGGGUGAGUAACGCGUGGGUAACCUGCCUUCGGGUUCGGAAUAACCUCGGGAAACUGGGGCUAAUGCCGAAUAAGACCACGAAGUCUUCGGGCUUCGCGGGAAAAGAUGGCCUCUCCUUGGAAGCUAUCGCCAGUCGAUGAGCCCGCGUCUGAUUAGCUUGUUGGUGAGGUAACGGCUCACCAAGGCGACGAUCAGUAGCUGGUCUGAGAGGAUGAUCAGCCACACUGGAACUGAGACACGGUCCAGACUCCUACGGGAGGCAGCAGUCGGGAAUUUUGGGCAAUGGGCGAAAGCCUGACCCAGCAACGCCGCGUGAGGGAUGAAGGCCUUCGGGUCGUAAACCUCUGUCGGAAGGGAAGAAAGGUCUCUGUUCGAAUAGGGCAGGGGCUUGACGGUACCUUCAAAGGAAGCACCGGCUAACUCCGUGCCAGCAGCCGC
rnacentral:rRNA from 1 species